rnacentral:rRNA from 1 species
UACGUAGGUGGCAAGCGAUACUCGGAAUCACUAGGUGUAAAGCGCAGGUAGGAGGUUGGAUAAGUCCGUUGUGAAAGCUCCCGGCUUAACUGGGAGAGGCCAACGGAAACUAUUCGGCUGGAGUGCGGUAGAGGUAGCUGGAAUUCCCGGUGUAGCGGUGAAAUGCGUAGAUAUCGGGAGGAAUACCUAUGGCGAAAGCAGGCUACUGGACCGUCACUGACUCUGAUCUGCGAAAGCUAGGGGAGCAAACAGG